rnacentral:tmRNA from 2 species
GGGAGCGACUUGGCUUCGACAGGAGUAAGUCUGCUUAGAUGGCAUGUCGCUUUGGGCAAAGCGUAAAAAGCUCAAAUAAAAUUAAACGCAAACAACGUUAAAUUCGCUCCUGCUUACGCUAAAGCUGCGUAAGUUCAGUUGAGCCUGAAAUUUAAGUCAUACUAUCUAGCUUAAUUUUCGGUCAUUUUUGAUAGUGUAGCCUUGCGUUUGACAAGCGUUGAGGUGAAAUAAAGUCUUAGCCUUGCUUUUGAGUUUUGGAAGAUGAGCGAAGUAGGGUGAAGUAGUCAUCUUUGCUAAGCAUGUAGAGGUCUUUGUGGAAUUAUUUUUGGACAGGGGUUCGAUUCCCCUCGCUUCCACCA